rnacentral:rRNA from 1 species
GAGUUUGAUCMUGGCUCAGAACGAACACUGGCGGCGUGCUUAACACAUGCAAGUCGAACGUGAUYCGGAGCUUGCUCCGGUGAAAGUGGCGCACGGGUGAGUAACGYGUGGAUAWCCUGCCCUGGUAUCCGGAAUAACAUCUCGAAAGGGGUGCUAAUACCGGAUAAGCCUACGGAGCCCUCGGUCUCUGCAGGAAAAGGUGGCCUCUAUUUAUAAGCUWCCGUAUCAGGAUGGGUCCGCGUACCAUUAGCUAGUUGGUGGGGUAAUGGCCCMCCAAGGCGACGAUGGUUAGCUGGUCUGAGAGGAUGAUCAGCCACACUGGAAMUGAGACACGGUCCAGACUCCUWCGGGAGGCAGCAGUGGGGAAUUUUGCGCAAUGGGGGAAACCCUGACGCAKCAACGCCGCGUGAGUGAUGAAGGCUUUCGGGUCGUAAAGCUCUGUCAGAGGGGAAGAACUGAGCCUGGCUAAUAUCCAGGUUUCUUGACGGUACCCUCAAAGGAAGCACCGGCUAACUCCGUGCCAGCAGCCGCGGUAAUACAAGGGMGAYUUKKRR